UACGUAGGUGGCAAGCGUUGUCCGGAUUUACUGGGCGUAAAGAGCGCGCAGGCGGUCGUUCAAGUCGCGUGUGAAAUCCCACGGCUCAACCGUGGAAGUGCACUCGAAACUGGAUGGCUAGAGUCCUGGAGAGGAAGGUGGAAUGCUUGGUGUAGAGGUGAAAUUCGUAGAUAUCAAGCGGAACACCGGUGGCGAAGGCGGCCUUCUGGACAGUGACUGACGCUGAGACGCGAAAGCGUGGGGAGCAAACAGG
rnacentral:rRNA from 1 species